rnacentral:sRNA from 1 species
GGUGAACGUUUUCUGUGAAUAACCCUCGCGGGUUCGAGCCGAGCGAAGCGAGACCACAUCGGAGCUUGCGACGAUAGCCCGAAGGGCGAGGAGUGUAACGACGAGUAAUCCUCCCUCACCGCCA